UCGGAACGUAUCCUUAAGUGGGGGAUAACGCAUCGAAAGAUGCGCUAAUACCGCAUAAUCUCUACGGAGAAAAGCAGGGGAUCGCAAGACCUUGCGCUUUUGGAGCGGCCGAUGUCUGAUUAGCUAGUUGGUGAGGUAAAGGCUUACCAAGGCUUCGAUCAGUAGCUGGUCUGAGAGGACGACCAGCCACACUGGGACUGAGACACGGCCCAG
rnacentral:rRNA from 1 species